UGGAAUGUUUAUGUGAAAAAUGAAGCACAAUACAGUUCACAUAGAUUGGAUCUAAAGAAAGUGAAGUUUCAUGUUGUUACAUUUCCAGCAUUAAGUUUCUAUUUAAAGGAUAUUAAGGUAUUUAAAUGAGUUUAAAUUAUGCCAGAAUUCAAAGAUAAACUAUGAUUAUGUUUUUUUAAAUGACCAAAAAAAUGUGAUUCAUUUCAAUUUGCUCAGAGGUUUAGUACUAACUUAUUAGAUGAGAAAAGAAAUGGAAUAAUAGAAAAGAUGCAGUUCAUGUUGGAAAAUAGUUUAUUUAAAACCAUUUAUUUUUAAAACCUGGUUAUUG
rnacentral:lncRNA from 1 species